rnacentral:tRNA from 1 species
GCCCAAGUGGUGAAAUGGUAGACGCAGAGGACUCAAAAUCCUCCGGUAGUGAUACCGUGUCGGUUCGAGUCCGACCUUGGGCACCA